rnacentral:rRNA from 1 species
GAUAUUGCACAAUGGGGGAAACCCUGAUGCAGCGACGCCGCGUGUGCGAAGAAGGCCUUCGGGUCGUAAAGCUCUGUGUCGAGGGCAGAAAAUGACGGUACCUCGGGAGAAAGCCCCGGCUAACUACGUGCCACCAGCCGCGGUAAUACGUAGGGGGCAAGCGUUCUCCGGAAUCAUUGGGCGUAAAGGGUGCGUAGGUGGUGAAUAAAGUCAAAGGUGAAAGGCUAGGGCUCAACCGUAGUAAGGCUUUGAAACUUAUUGACUUGAGUGCAGGAGAGGAGAGUGGAAUUCCUAGUGUAGCGGUGAAAUACGUAGAUAUUAGGAGGGACACCAGUGGCGAAGGCGACUCUCUGGACUGUAACUGACGCUGAGGCACGAAAGCGUGGGGGGCAAACA